rnacentral:misc_RNA from 1 species
AAAAAAUAUAGAGAGCCCCAGAGCGCCCACACCCCACAUUGGGUUCUUUGAAAACUGAAUAUUAGAUGAAACGCAAUUUUCUGAUUAUCACUCAAAAACCAAUUAACUAAAAUUAAUAUUUAUAAUUAGAUAAUUAUUACGAUAUUAAAUUCGUAAUGACAAAUAGAGUACAAAUGCAGAAAGUCA